UAAGUUAGAAAGGGCGCACGGUGGAUGCCUUGACACUAGGAGUCGAUGAAGGACGGGACUAACGCCGAUAUGCUUCGGGGAGCUGUAAGUAAGCUUUGAUCCGAAGAUUUCCGAAUGGGGAAACCCACCAUACGUAAUGGUAUGGUAUCCUUAUCUGAAUACAUAGGGUAAGGAAGACAGACCCAGGGAACUGAAACAUCUAAGUACCUGGAGGAAGAGAAAGCAAAUGCGAUUUCCUGAGUAGCGGCGAGCGAAACGGAACAUAGCCCAAACCAAGAGGCUUGCCUCUUGGGGUUGUAGGACAUUCUAUACGGAGUUACAAAGGAACGAGGUAGACGAAGCGACCUGGAAAGGUCCGUCGUAGAGGGUAACAACCCCGUAGUCGAAACUUCGUUCUCUCUUGAAUGUAUCCUGAGUACGGCGGAACACGUGAAAUUCCGUCGGAAUCUGGGAGGACCAUCUCCCAAGGCUAAAUACUCCCUAGUGAUCGAUAGUGAACCAGUACCGUGAGGGAAAGGUGAAAAGCACCCCGGAAGGGGAGUGAAAGAGAUCCUGAAACCGUGUGCCUACAAAUAGUCAGAGCCCGUUAACGGGUGAUGGCGUGCCUUUUGUAGAAUGAACCGGCGAGUUACGAUCCCGUGCGAGGUUAAGCUGAAGAGGCGGAGCCGCAGCGAAAGCGAGUCUGAAUAGGGCGUUUAGUACGUGGUCGUAGACCCGAAACCAGGUGAUCUACCCAUGUCCAGGGUGAAGUUCAGGUAACACUGAAUGGAGGCCCGAACCCACGCACGUUGAAAAGUGCGGGGAUGAGGUGUGGGUAGCGGAGAAAUUCCAAUCGAACCUGGAGAUAGCUGGUUCUCCCCGAAAUAGCUUUAGGGCUAGCCUUAAGUGUAAGAGUCUUGGAGGUAGAGCACUGAUUGGACUAGGGGUCCUCAUCGGAUUACCGAAUUCAGUCAAACUCCGAAUGCCAAUGACUUAUCCUUAGGAGUCAGACUGCGAGUGAUAAGAUCCGUAGUCAAAAGGGAAACAGCCCAGACCGCCAGCUAAGGUCCCAAAGUGUGUAUUAAGUGGAAAAGGAUGUGGAGUUGCUUAGACAACUAGGAUGUUGGCUUAGAAGCAGCCACCAUUUAAAGAGUGCGUAAUAGCUCACUAGUCGAGUGACUCUGCGCCGAAAAUGUACCGGGGCUAAAUACACCACCGAAGCUGCGGAUUGAUACCAAUGGUAUCAGUGGUAGGGGAGCGUUCUAAGGACAGUGAAGUCAGACCGGAAGGACUGGUGGAGUGCUUAGAAGUGAGAAUGCCGGUAUGAGUAGCGAAAGACGGGUGAGAAUCCCGUCCACCGAAUGCCUAAGGUUUCCUGAGGAAGGCUCGUCCGCUCAGGGUUAGUCAGGACCUAAGCCGAGGCCGACAGGCGUAGGCGAUGGACAACAGGUUGAUAUUCCUGUACCACCUCUUUAUCGUUUGAGCAAUGGAGGGACGCAGAAGGAUAGAAGAAGCGUGCGAUUGGUUGUGCACGUCCAAGCAGUUAGGCUGAUAAGUAGGCAAAUCCGCUUAUCGUGAAGGCUGAGCUGUGAUGGGGAAGCUCCUUAUGGAGCGAAGUCUUUGAUUCCCCGCUGCCAAGAAAAGCUUCUAGCGAGAUAAAAGGUGCCUGUACCGCAAACCGACACAGGUAGGCGAGGAGAGAAUCCUAAGGUGUGCGAGAGAACUCUGGUUAAGGAACUCGGCAAAAUGACCCCGUAACUUCGGGAGAAGGGGUGCUUUCUUAACGGAAAGCCGCAGUGAAUAGGCCCAAGCGACUGUUUAGCAAAAACACAGCUCUCUGCGAAGCCGUAAGGCGAAGUAUAGGGGGUGACACCUGCCCGGUGCUGGAAGGUUAAGGAGAGGGGUUAGCGUAAGCGAAGCUCUGAACUGAAGCCCCAGUAAACGGCGGCCGUAACUAUAACGGUCCUAAGGUAGCGAAAUUCCUUGUCGGGUAAGUUCCGACCCGCACGAAAGGUGUAACGAUUUGGGCACUGUCUCAACCAGAGACUCGGUGAAAUUAUAGUACCUGUGAAGAUGCAGGUUACCCGCGACAGGACGGAAAGACCCCGUGGAGCUUUACUGUAGCCUGAUAUUGAAUUUUGGUACAGUUUGUACAGGAUAGGCGGGAGCCUUUGAAACCGGAGCGCUAGCUUCGGUGGAGGCGCUGGUGGGAUACCGCCCUGACUGUAUUGAAAUUCUAACCUACGGGUCUUAUCGACCCGGGAGACAGUGUCAGGUGGGCAGUUUGACUGGGGCGGUCGCCUCCUAAAGUGUAACGGAGGCGCCCAAAGGUUCCCUCAGAAUGGUUGGAAAUCAUUCGUAGAGUGCAAAGGCAUAAGGGAGCUUGACUGCGAGACCUACAAGUCGAGCAGGGACGAAAGUCGGGCUUAGUGAUCCGGUGGUUCCGCAUGGAAGGGCCAUCGCUCAACGGAUAAAAGCUACCCCGGGGAUAACAGGCUUAUCUCCCCCAAGAGUCCACAUCGACGGGGAGGUUUGGCACCUCGAUGUCGGCUCAUCGCAUCCUGGGGCUGUAGUCGGUCCCAAGGGUUGGGCUGUUCGCCCAUUAAAGCGGUACGCGAGCUGGGUUCAGAACGUCGUGAGACAGUUCGGUCCCUAUCCGUCGUGGGCGUAGGAAAUUUGAGAGGAGCUGUCCUUAGUACGAGAGGACCGGGAUGGACGCACCGCUGGUGUACCAGUUGUUCUGCCAAGGGCAUAGCUGGGUAGCUAUGUGCGGAAGGGAUAAGUGCUGAAAGCAUCUAAGCAUGAAGCCCCCCUCAAGAUGAGAUUUCCCAUAGCGUAAGCUAGUAAGAUCCCUGAAAGAUGAUCAGGUUGAUAGGUUCGAGGUGGAAGCAUGGUGACAUGUGGAGCUGACGAAUACUAAUAGAUCGAGGACUUAACCA
rnacentral:rRNA from 8 species